rnacentral:rRNA from 1 species
ACGCUUGAAGUCAGUCGCGUCGGCUGGAAAUCAACCUUGCUUUUGCUGGGUGUACUUUCCAGUUGACGGGCCAGCAUCAGUUUUGACCGGUGGAAAAAGUCCAAGGGAAUGUGGCACCUUCGGGUGUGUUAUAGCCUUUGGUCGCAUACAUCGGUUGGGACUGAGGAACUCAGCACGCCGCAAGGCCGGUCUUCGGACACGUUCGUGCUUAGGAUGCUGGCAUAAUGGCUUUAAUCGACCCGUCUUGAAACACGGACCAAGGAGUC